rnacentral:rRNA from 1 species
AUUGAACGCUGGCGGAAUGCCUUACACAUGCAAGUCGAACGGCAGCACGGCCUUCGGGCUCUCGUCGAGCGGGGGACGGGUGAGUGAUGUAUCGGUACAUGCGCAGUCGUGUGGGCGAGCGCUUUGACAGAGGGGAAAUUACCCCAUACGCGCUUAGGGGGUAAGCGGGGGAGCGCAAGACCUCGCGCGCUUGCGCUGUCGGAUGUGAGAUUAGCUAGUUGGUGGGGUAAAGGCCUACCAAGGCGACGAUCUGUAGCUGGUCUGAGAGGAUGAUCAGCCACACUGGGACUGAGACACGGCCCAGACUCCUACGGGAGGCAGCAGUGGGGAAUUUUGGACAAUGGGCGCAACCCUGAUCCAGCCAUACCGCGUGAGUGAAGAAGGCCUUCGGGUUGUAAAGCUCUUUUGGCAGGAACGAAAAGGAGCGCUCUAACAUAGUCCGGUUAUGACGGUACCUGAAGAAUAAGCACCGGCUAACUACGUG